rnacentral:lncRNA from 1 species
ACAAAUAUAUCAAGCGACCCACCAAUCUUCUGUACAUGGGCGGCCCAAUAAAGAAAAAUUUCUAGGGUUUUCAAUUUUUGGGGAAAAUUGAAAAAAAAUCAUUUCUUCUCUUUUGAUCUUUUCACGAAAAUCGAGUUGAAAAAUCGAGUUUUCUCGCCAAAACCGUAAAAUCAAGUUUUCCCGCCAAUCGUAAAAUCGAGUUUUCCCGCCAAAACCACAAAAUCGAGUUUACCCGCCAAAACCGGAAAAUCGAGUUUUCCUGCCAAA